UACGUAGGGGGCAAGCGUUGUCCGGAUUUAUUGGGCGUAAAGAGCGUGUAGGCGGCCAUACAGGUCCGUUGUGAAAACUGGAGGCUUAACCUCCAGACGUCGAUGGAAACCGUAUGGCUAGAGUCCGGAAGAGGAGAGUGGAAUUCCUGGUGUAGCGGUGAAAUGCGCAGAUAUCAGGAAGAACACCCGUGGCGAAGGCGGCUCUCUGGGACGGUACUGACGCUGAGGUGCGAAAGCGUGGGGAGCGAACAGG
rnacentral:rRNA from 1 species